GUUUAUUUUUGCCGCAGGUUAGAUUUAGUAAACAACAGGCCUAUGAGCGGCGCAGAGACCGUCACCCAAGCAAUAAUGCCAAAGUCCGCAAGUCCACCCCUGAAGGAUUAUCCCCGCCAGCUCUCAUGGAACCGACCAUAGUGACCGAAGGAAUGUUAUGUGAAGGAAAUCCGAGUGAAAAUCACGGUGCGUGGUGCUGGGUGACGGGGAAAGGGCUGGGGCCAUAUGGUUCAGCAGCCAUGAGCAUUAUCUCCCUGUGCCAUUGCUGCUCACGGCACCUUUGGCACCUCAUAACACCAUGGCCUUGACCACCAUAGGCACGCUGCCCUCUAGAAGUAGGCUUUAAUACAGUAACAUUUUCCCAAGUGAAAAAACUGAGGAAUGAAUAGUCUGCCAACAUGCAACUCCACCCCACCUUCUUAAAAAUAGGGAAAAAAUUUGCAGCGGGUAAAUACUUUUACUUUUUUACAUCAACCAAUCAGCAGGCUCCGUGUAAUAAACAAAAGGGAUCCAGCCUCGCGAGAGCCAAUGGGGGACUACUUUUCUUUCCACCAUCCGAAAGUGUGGAGCGGACCUACGUGUUGCCAUUUACUCCCUUUCCCCACUGUUACGAUUUAAAACAGGAAUAUAUUUGUACGAUCAUUUCCCUCAUCUUGCCAAUGUAUAUAAACCAAUCAAUAAUGGCGAGAUGGCUGCCGUGGAAUCACCCCAAGCAGAGUAAAGUCGGGGCUGCACGCAUCCGGACGCGUGCACACUUGCUAAACUGGGUCGUGGGUGUGACGUUGCGGGGAACAGCUGAUCCGCCUCACACGCCAGCCGCCACCCACAGGAGAACCUCGCUCGCCCUCUGCUCUCUUCAUCGCCCUGGCCAACAUUCCCCCUCGUCAGCCAUGGGACAGGAGGAGGUGCUCGGCGGUGUUCCUGGAGGAGGUUGGGAGGUGACAUCAGCCGCUGGGGGACCGGAGUGUCUCCGCCAGGUAGAGCAGUGGGGGUAGCCUCAGAGCGUGUAGCUUAAUCCGGGCUCGCGCGAGAUGUCUUGGGCUCGGCAGCAGGAACCGUGUGAUAUUCAGAGCUCAAUUUGAGACUCCUAAGUGUAUCACUUCCACGGCCUCAUCAGUAGGUAGUCGGAGAGUAGGUAUAGUGUGUGACUGAGAGGCGCCAGCGGUGCGGGCUUCCUACCGUGACGGAGGAGGCGCCACCCUGUCAUUGAGUGGCUUGAAUGUUAGUAGUGUGACGCUGCUGGAGAGGAUGGCUCCGGGAAAUGUGAUCAGGAGAUGCGAGGGAAAAGCUCUCGCUGAUGUAUUGAUCCAGUCAGUCACCGCUCAGCAGAGCAGUUCGGCCAGCGUGUCUUAUCACUGAUGCUGCUGCUUUACACAAGCAAAAGGGCUAUCCAUUUUUUUUUUCAAAAGCUCAUGGAAUCCUGUCGAGGAAGAAGUUACAGAAUCAAAAAAGACUUGUCUGUGUGCGCUUGGCUGAUUAGAAAGGCUGUGUGUGGCGCCACCAAGGCCACCCACCACACCUGACGGAGCGCUGACGGCCGUGUGUGUGUGUGUGUGUGUGUGUGUGUGUGUGUGUGUGUGUGUGUGUGUGUGUGUGUGUGUGUUGACGUCUUAUGUAUGAUCGACUGAUGUAAGCGACUGAUAGGACUCCCGACGAGGGUGUCUCUCAGCUCCGCCUUAUUUUUUUUUAAUAAAUAAAUGAGAAAUUGGAAGUGUUUCAGUGGAAUUACACCACGUCCGAGGGUGCCCCGAAUAUCUAACGAGGGGCACUUGGUACAGGACAUUGUAGAAGAAUGUGACUACCAUAUGCAAUUCAUGCUCCUCCAUUAUACAAUCCAAAACUUAAUUUAAGAUAUAUAAAGUUAAAUCUUAAACCUUAUAACAAAUUUUGGCGACGCCCUCCUGGCCAAGUCUUCCUGCAUGGUUAUAAUAAUGUGGAGGCAGUUCAGUCGUAGUCUUGUUCUUCACUUUGCUCUUCUGCAUCAAAUGUGGUAAAUCAUUCCAAAUGUUAACCUAAAUUAUGAGGUGUAUGUCGAGUAGAAAAAAGCAGUGUAAGUAUUCCUAAACCUAAUGGGUUUACAGAAAGUAAACUUGAAGCGUGCACCACAGUGCCACUGGUGCCAAAACGUAUUUGCUGAAGCGAACCUGGAAAAAAGAGAGGUAAGGUGUGGUGGGAAGUAGUGUGUUUGUGCAGAGGGGAAUGUGACAAAACGCGGGUUGUGUGGACUUUGCAACGUUUCACAGUUUAGUUUUAAGUGCAAUGGUUGGCAUUUUUAGAGCGUCUGAAAGCUUGUGUGCGUGCGUCCAGGUGUUACUAAGAGUUGCGGGUGCUGGUGGCGACGGGUCUCCUGAUAAGCGUCGUCUAGCGAGAUUGAUAGGGGCGUGUGGAAUACUUCACCGCUAAGGACUUCACCAGAGAGACUCAGGUGGGUUUAUGGAUUUGAGCCUCGGGAAAGUUGGGCGAUGUGAAAUGUCCGCCAUCACACUGAAUUUAAAAAAAAAAAAAAAAAAAAAAGCUGACAGUCUCUAGUUUGAGUGAGCAAGUCGCGGGGCUGACGGCUCCCACUGAUGUGUCAAGAUCGUUUCUAUUGUAGUAAAGGAAGAUGUAGGUUUCCUUUAGCUACGAUACUCAGCCGUAGGGAGCUGCAUAGGGCGGCGGUGCACAUAAUACUCAAGAUAAGCAAAGGCUAGAGGGCAGCAGUCAAACAGGCCGAUGGAUCAGGUCGAAAGCAGGGCAGGUAAAAACAAGCACAGGUUUGUGGGCGACAUUAGCAGCGCUGUGGCGGCGUUGGCGGCAGCAACAACAUAACCUUGAAAACCUGCCGUGGCCAGCAGGGCUGCCACCGUCUACGGCCGCCUCUCUCUGACACAAUUUCUCCCCACUCCUUGACUUGCUGGCCUCUCCGGCACAGGGUGAUUCAAUAUUCAGCUACUGAAAAUAGUAAAAAUAUAAUAAGU